rnacentral:rRNA from 1 species
UGAUCGAAGCCCCGGUAAACGGCGGCCGUAACAAUAACGGUCCUAAGGUAGCGAAAUUCCUUGUCGGGUAAGUUCCGACCUGCACGAAUGGCGUAACGAUGGCGGCGCUGUCUCCACCCGAGACUCAGUGAAAUUGAAAUCGCUGUGAAGAUGCAGUGUAUCCGCGGCUAGACGGAAAGACCCCGUGAACCUUUACUAUAGCUUGACACUGAACAUUGAGCCUUGAUGUGUAGGAUAGGUGGGAGGCUUUGAAGUGUGGACGCCAGUCUGCAUGGAGCCAACCUUGAAAUACCACCCUUUAAUGUUUGAUGUUCUAACUCGG